rnacentral:rRNA from 1 species
GACGAACGCUGGCGGCGUGCCUAAUACAUGCAAGUUGAGCGAUGAAGAUUGGUGCUUGCACCAAUUUGAAGAGCCGCGCACGGGUGAGUAACGCGUGGGGCAUCUGCCUUUGAUCGGGGGACAACAUUUGGAAACGAAUGCUAAUACCGCAUAACAACUUUAAACAUAAGUUUUAAGUUUGAAAGAUGCAAUUUCAUCACUCAAGGAUGGUCCCGCGUUGUAUUAGUUAGUUGGUGGGGUAGUGGCUCACCAAGGCGAUGCAACAUAGCCGACCUGAGAGGGUGAACGGCAACAUUGGGACUGAGAAACGGCCCAGACUGCGACGGGAGGCAGCGGUGGGGAAUAGUGAACACGGGGCGGAAGACUGAUGAAGCAACGCCGCGUGCGGGAUAACGGCCUUCGGGUUGUAAACAGAUUUCGCCUGUGACGAAGCGUGAGUGACGGUAAUGGGUAAAGAAGCACCGGCUAACUACGCG